rnacentral:misc_RNA from 1 species
CCUAGAGUUUACAAGGCUUGCCCAAUCCUCUGUGACCCAUUACCUUUAUGUGCCCUCGGGAUCAGUCCGCGCCGUAACGGGUCCGGCCCGCCGUCAGGAACACUUAAACCUCUGUUUCAGUGGCAAUCUAGCGUCUGAAAAAACUUAAUAAUUCA